rnacentral:rRNA from 1 species
GUCGAACGCGUCUUGGUUAUUGAUGUUAGAUGCUUGCAUUUAACUGAUUUAACAUUGAGACGAGUGGCGAACUGGUGAGUAACACGUGGGUAACCUGCCCUUGAAGUAGGGGAUAACACUUGGAAACAGGUGCUAAUACCGUAUAACAACCAAAACCACCUGGUUUUGGUUUAAAAGAUGGCUUCGGCUAUCACUUUAGGAUGGACCCGCGGCGUAUUAGCUUGUUGGUAAGGUAACGGCCUACCAAGGCAAUGAUACGUAGCCGACCUGAGAGGGUAAUCGGCCACAUUGGGACUGAGACACGGCCCAAACCCCUACGGGAGGCAGCAGUAGGGAAUCUUCCACAAUGGACGAAAGUCUGAUGGAGCAACGCCGCGUGAGUGAUGAAGGGUUUCGGCUCGUAAAACUCUGUUGUUGGAGAAGAACAGGUGUGAGAGUAACUGUUCACAUCUUGACGGUAUCCAACCAGAAAGCCACGGCUAACUACGUGCCAGCAGCCGCGGUAAUACGUAGGUGGCAAGCGUUGUCCGGAUUUAUUGGGCGUAAAGCGAGCGCAGGCGGUUUCUUAGGUCUGAUGUGAAAGCCUUCGGCUUAACCGGAGAAGUGCAUCGGAAACCAGGAGACUUGAGUGCAG